rnacentral:rRNA from 1 species
GGCCUGGUUGGGCGGUCCGCUUAACGGCGUGUACUGUCUGACUGGGUCUUACUUCUUGGUGAGCCGGCGUGCCCUUUACUGGGCUGCGUCGGGGAACCAGGACUUUUACCUUGAGAAAAUUAGAGUGUUCAAAGCAGGCCUAUGCCUGAAUACAUUAGCAUGGAAUAAUAAAAUAGGACGUGCGGUUCUAUUUUGUUGGUUUCUAGAGUCGCCGUA